CUAUACAACCUGCUUAACUUUGUUCAAGGCGUUAUCACCUCCACACAUGUUAUGUAUUUAUUUUUCAUUCCCUUCUUCUGGAAUUUAAGCUCCACUUGAGUAAGUAUUUGUUUUCAACUGUUAUAUUCCCAGGGGCUGAAGUGGUGCCUGAAACAUGGUGGGAAUUUCAUAAAUACUUUUUGAAUGAAUUAAUUGAAUGGAUAAGUCGGUGAAUGCUAUACCCAGAAGGAAAUAUUAGAAAGAAGAAAAACAAAAGAACUGAAGCCCCGAGAAACUGUCCACUUAUACAAGGGUUUUCUUCCACCUCUGCUACACCUGAGAGCAAAGUCGGCUCCUUUUUCUCCUCCUCCUCAGCCUACUCAACAGUGGAGAUGAGGAGGAUGAAGACCUUUAUGAUGAUCUACUGUCACUAAAUGACUAGUAAGUAGAGUUCUUUUCUUUAUAAUUUUCCUAAUAACAUUUUGUUUUCUCUAGUUUAUUGUAAGAAUAUGGUAUGUAAUACACAUAACAUACAAAAUGUGUGUUAAUCGACUGUGUAUAUUAUCAGUAAGUCUUCUAGUUAACAGUAGGCUAUUAGUAGUUCAGUUUUGGGGGAGUCAAAAGUUAU